AAUAAGAUGUUGUUUUUCCCUAAUGUUCUGAGAUACAUUUUUUCUCUGUUCUUUGAGGUUGUUUCCCUCCUUCCCACCACAUCUGAUAUUUGCAUACUUUAGCUUAGUGAGCAAGGGGAAGAGGAGAUAAAAAAUCCUGGUGCUCUUAUUAAUGCCCCUGAAUUAACUUUAAAAACCCAUCUCUUGUCGUGACUGAAAAGGGAAAUGGAUGAAGCACCUGAAGAAGCAACAGCUCUGGCUUGGAGUACGCACUAAUGUUCUGAACGCCACUCCCGAGGAAUCUGAUGGUGAUUUGGAACGAACUAUCUUGACAAGUCUGUCUGCAACAUGGCUGAUGGUCUCUGCCCUAGCUGGGAAGAGAGAGAGAAAAGAAGAGCUACCUCCUUGUUAGGCCCUCAAGCAGGCUGGGCCCAAACUUGAAAAAACCAAAGGAGUUUCACUUCAGAGCCUGUCUACAUCAGCAUGGGGAUGGGGCCACACAUGCCUUAUGUGACUAGACAUUGCUGUGGAUGUGUGCAACAACAGGGUUCUUUGUCCAGCAGUGGCCUUGCUUAUCCACAGCAGCCAAGACUUUGUCCAGGACCUUCCUGAGCCGCAGGCAUCAGGUGAGCCAGAUUGGCACUGCAUGCUAGCUAAGUGAGGAGGAAUAGCUGCUGUCAUGACAGAGCAAUUUCCAGCAGCAACUCAUUUUGCAUUUAGCCCUGAUUGACCAGAUGGCAGCUCCUGUGUUACCAGUAGACAGAGAGAGAGAGAGAGAGAGAGAAAGAGAGAGAGAGAGAGAGAGUGUGUGUGUGUGUGUGUGUGUGUGUGUACAAUUCACAUAGUAACAUAGGACCUCUAUUGUGGAGCGCCUUGGUUAAUAAUAACCACUUCCACACCUUGUCCUGGAUGACCCAGCACUGACUGCAGUUUUAUAAACACUUUGUCUGGGAGUUGCUGGGUGGUCAACACUUUUCCAAACAACAACAACAACAAAAAAGCCAAGUUUUCCAGGACUUAAAUAUGUAAUUAGGUACCCAAUUCUGGAAAAAGAAUUCUCAGUCCAAGGAUUCAUCCAUUCGGCUGUGAGCUGGCAAACUCUAGGACUGACAUGCCAGGAUUUCAAAAAGCACGGUCCAUUUCUGCAGAAUGCCUGAACCAGUAAUUCUCAAUCAGGGUGUUGCAAAAUAUUAACAUUGUUAGGUAUGUAAAUACCUGAACAUAAUUCACAAGAUAAACCCAGAGAUUUCAAAUACGAAUCCAAAGUUUCAAAAUGUCCUGAACUGUUGUGGUCUUUCUGAGUUUUUCACCACAGAAAAAUUGCUGUUAUUUUUCCAUAGUUAAAAGAGAGGUGAAAGCGAAGAGCUGGCACAUUGAGGGGUGCUUUGAGUCUAAUAAGGGUGAGAACCACUGCCUUAAACAUGCAUUAAAUGCCUUAGCUCAAACAUAACUGCAGCUUGAAUUUUGGGCCCAACACUUCCUUCAAGGAAAGCCUUUCCAACUGGCAUUUUUAGUUGGGGUCAUACUGCCACCUGCUGGCUGAACUAUAACAGUACACUAAAAGGAGCAUCACAUUUUUAAAGCAGAAAAGCCAAACAAUUUGUCUCAAUUUCUAGGAAGGAAGCAAAAAUAAAAGGCGGAAUAUGGCAUGCACAGGUAGACAAGUGGCAACUAGGGAUUCUUCAGGUUGGUGCUACUUAUUCCUGACAAGAGGGCUAGGAGGGAGGGAUCUAUGCAGAGAAUUCAACUGGAAGAUGCUAGGAGAUCUAACAUCUGGGGGAAUUGUUGGUUGGGAGCUGCUUCAAGGUGUUUAGGAGAAUUUAGAAGAUAGCUGAGAAUGAAUGGUUUGGAGACAACUUCUAUAUUAUCUUACUUGGGCCAAAUCAGCAUGGAAAAUUUUACAGAACAUCCCAUUGCCAUUUCUAAACCCUCGUAUUUCAGAGCACAAACUAGUUCUCCAGGGAGACAUGGUGGAAUCAACACAACACCUUAUAGAAAGGUAGGGGGAUCUAUGGAAUUUGAAGAUGCAAUAAAUUAUGGAUAAUAACGAGCCAAGAAAGGCCCCCUGAAUCUGAAGGCUGACAUGGGCAAACAAAUCUCUUGCUUACUGUGCAGCCAAGAAUAGGCCAGCCUCUUCUGCAGCAGGGUUUCCUCCUCCCAAUACCCCACUAAUAAUCUUUGUAGGUGCAGGACUCUUUGCUGAGGGGCAAUCCAUGUCCCACUCCUCCCUGUGGUUGCAUGGAAAUUUCUCAGAAUCUACCCAUCUUAGGUUAUCGUCCCUUGCCUCCUCACUAAGGGACUCUUCAAAGGGAUUCUGUAGCAGUGGGAGACCUGUGUGGGAGAAGUGGGGGAAGGCUUGGAACAAAGCUACAUUUGAGCCAAUAUGCCUGGGCACAGGGCAUGCUAAGAAUGCAGAAGGGAUCGAGACAUGUGGUGUAUGCAUGGAUUGCCUUAGCUCUGCAGAUGGACAGAGCCCGUGAAUAAGCCCUUAUGUCAUUCUUGAGUGUUGAUGUAGGAAAGAGUCCCUCCCCUGUGGGAAGACCUUCACAGUCCUUUCUUACUGGUCUUACACAGGACUGGCAAUCCUACUGUUGGGUUGUUUUACAUUGCUGUUCAUGACAUCCUGUGGCCAGGUAUCAGAGACAGUGCACCAGCACUUGGAAAACCAGAUCUGUAUAGCUGUUUUAUUGUGGCAGGAUAGUCAUGGCCAGCAAAAUGAGUUCACAGUAUAAAGAAGCAUGAAUCUACCAUAUGUGAAAGUAGGUAAAUGGCAGUAACGAUGGUCAAGCAAUUUUGUUUCCUAGUUAGGAAAACCAAAACAGCUAGCAUAAAAUGCAUUAAAACAAAUACGGGGGAAAAAACUAGGGGCUGACCAGCCAGCAAAAAGGAGAGAAACAGAAACCAAGUGGGUAGAGGGGAAUGAACUAACAGGAGCCUUCAGGCAGUCAGAGGCAGAUUCAGGGGAGGUGCACUGGUGUACUUGCACCCCUCUUCGAUUCCUGCUCCAUCCAAAGUUUAAAGCCAACAGCCUGGCAGCGGCACCAGCAUUUCUCUUUAGACAGCAGUAAGGGAGUCACUAGACUUCAUGGCUCAUUAAAAUCUGAUUCCUUCUAAACUCUUCAUUCCACAGGUGUUAAAGACCCUCUUCUUUUUAAUGGUCUUGAUGUUCCAUUAAUCAAGCUAGUCUGCCUACUGCAAUUCUGCUGUCUAUUAGCUGCUCCUAAUUGUCACAACCCAAGGGUGUGAUUUUUGUUUGUGUGUGCUUCGGCACUGCUGAAUUAUUUCCCGCCACUCGUAGCUUUCUUUGCAGGGUGCAUUUCUGAGCUGCAGAAAGGAAAUGCACAUUGCAAGGAGUUCCUGCCAUUUGUAUUCAGAUUCAUGCCCCACUAUUGGCCAGUUCUAAAUUAUUCUUACGUGGCGGCUAGCGAUUGGCUUGCUAGCCGUAUAAGAGGCUUGAGUGGUUUCCGCCCAAGUUGGAGGACUCCACAACUAUCAGGAGGAGAACUUCACGUCUCGUGAAGAUCUCUAAGCGCUGCGGAGCCUAUUGGACCCAGCAUGUAUAUCAAGAAGGCUAUAGGGAUCUGAUCAACCUCUCAUCUCUCCCCGUCACUGCCUGAUCCCUCGACGUACCCUUCCCUGCGCGCAAGUUCCAUGGAGCCUAGCAAACUUCGUGUGAGUGAAUCCAGAGCUCUACCUGGGGUUCGAGUCCUGCAGUUUUUUUCUUCCCGUCGCCGAAACCCCCAUUGCGACGAACUCUCGAGGUUUUUGUUCAUCUCCCAUCACCGAAACCCCAUUGCGACGUACCCUUACGUUCUGCAGGUUCAAGUUUUUUGUUUUGUUUUGUAACCGCAACUCAAGCAAGUUUUCCUGCCUGCACCGCGACCAUCUUCGGUGUAAGUAAAAUAAUCUUAAAUCAA